GGGACUGGCUCGUUUCACUGUGAGCGUCUGGGGGACUGGCUCGUGUCACUGUGUGUGUCUGGGGGACUGACUCGUUUCACUGUCUGUGUCUGGGGGACUGACUCGUUUCACUGUCUGUGUCUGGGGGACUGACUCGUUUCACUGUCUGUGUCUGGGGGACUGACUCGUUUCACUGUCUGUGUCUGGGGGACUGACUCGUUUCACUGUCUGUGUCUGGGGGACUGACUCGUUUCACUGUCUGUGUCUGGGGGACUGACUCGUUUCACUGUCUGUGUCUGGGGGACUGACUCGUUUCACUGUCUGUGUCUGGGGGACUGACUCGUUUCACUGUCUGUGUCUGGGGGACUGACUCGUUUCACUGUCUGUGUCUGGGGGACUGGCUCGUUUGAUUGUCCACGUCUGGGGCACUGACUCGUUUCACUGUGAGCAUCUGGGGGAUUGGCUCGUUUCACUCUGAGCGUCUGGGGGACUGGCUCGUUUCACUGUGAGCGUCUGGGGGACUGGCUCUAUUCACUGUGAGCGUCUGGAGGAUUGACUCGUUUCACUGUCUGUGUCUGGGGGACUGGCUCGUUUCACUAUGCGUCUGGGGGACUGGCUCGUUUCACUCUGCGUCUGGGGGACUGGCUCGUUUCACUGUGCGCGUCUGGGGGACUGGCUCGUUUCACUGUCUGCGUCUGGGGGACUGGCUCGUUUCACUGUGCGCGUCUGGGGGACUGGCUCGUUUCACUAUGCGUCUGGGGGACUGGCUCGUUUCACUGUCUGCGUCUGGGGGACUGGCUCGUUUCACUAUGCGUCUGGGGGACUGGCUCGUUUCACUGUGCGCGUCUGGGGGACUGGCUCGUUUCACUAUGCGUCUGGGGGACUGGCUCGUUUCACUAUGCGUCUGGGGGACUGGCUCGUUUCACUCUGCGUCUGGGGGACUGGCUCGUUUCACGAUGCGUCUGGGGGACUGGCUCGUUUCACGAUGCGUCUGGGGGACUGGCUCGUUUCACUCUGCGUCUGGGGGACUGGCUCGUUUCCCUGUCUGUGUCUGGGGGACUGGCUCGUUUCACUAUGCGUCUGGGGGACUGGCUCGUUUCACUGUGAGCGUCUGGGGGACUGGCUUGUUUCACUGUGGGCAUCUGGGGGACUGGCUCGUUUCACUAUGCGUCUGGGGGACUGGCUCGUUUCACUAUGCGUCUGGGGGACUGGCUCGUUUCACUGUGCGCGUCUGGGGGACUGGCUCGUUUCACUGUGGGCGUCUGGGGGACUGACUCGUUUCACUGUCUGCGUCUGGGGGACUGGCUCGUUUCACUGUGGGCAUCUGGGGGACUGGCUUGUUUCACUGUCUGCGUCUGGGGGACUGGCUCGUUUCACUGUGAGCGUCUGGGGGACUGGCUCGUUUCACUGUCUGCGUCUGGGGGACUGGCUCGUUUCACUGUCUGCGUCUGGGGGACUGGCUCGUUUCACUGUCUGCGUCUGGGGGACUGGCUCGUUUCACUGUGGGCAUCUGGGGGACUGGCUUGUUUCACUGUCUGCGUCUGGGGGACUGGCUCGUUUCACUGUCUGCGUCUGGGGGACUGGCUCGUUUCACUGUCUGCGUCUGGGGGACUGGCUUGUUUCACUGUCUGCGUCUGGGGGACUGGCUCGUUUCACUGUCUGCGUCUGGUGGACUGACUCGUUUCACUGUGGGCAUCUGGGGGACUGGCUUGUUUCACUGUCUGCGUCUGGGGGACUGGCUUGUUUCACUGUGGGCAUCUGGGGGACUGGCUUGUUUCACUGUCUGCGUCUGGGGGACUGGCUUGUUUCACUGUCUGCGUCUGGGGGACUGGCUCGUUUCACUGUGCCCGUCUGGGUGACUGUCUCGUUUCACUGUGCCCGUCUGGGUGACUGUCUCGUUUCACUGUGCCCGUCUGGGUGACUGUCUCGUUUCACUGUGCCCGUCUGGGGGACUGGCUCGUUUCACUGUGCCCGUCUGGGGGACUGGCUCGUUUCACUGUGCCCGUCUGGGGGACUGGCUCGUUUCACUGUGCCCGUCUGGGUGACUGUCUCGUUUCACUGUGCCCGUCUGGGUGACUGUCUCGUUUCACAUCACUUGUCCAGGGGACUGGUUACUUUCAUUGUGCGUGUCCAGGAGACUGGCCUUAUCAAUUUUGAGAGCCAGGUGUUAUGUUUGUCAAAGUUCAUUGACACCUGAAGAGGCACCCUCACCCUCUCCUAUGAUUAGAUUGUGUCAAUCAGCAAGUUGUUAUUCAAAGCCUGGAAGCUGGUGUUAAAGGGCCUGACACUUUAUUUGGUUUGGUUAGCUUUUUAAUAUCCGCCUUUUUUUCCGUCAUUUAAGCAACUAUGUGAAAUCGAUGGUGGAGUUGAGUCAGUGCAGAUAAUAGCGGCUCGAGUUAUUUAUGCUGAGGAAUUGUUACUGGCUUGCAGAGAUCAUCAACCCUGAGUUCUUCAACUCGGUUUGUUACUGUUUUUUUGUUGUCUGGUAUUUUUAUGAUUUGUUAAAUACACUGCAAAAUGCAGGACCAGAAAGGUCAGUACAGCUAUGCCCCAAAGUUAAUGCACCACCAUUGGCUAUUCCUUCCAAUUCUCCUGCAAUGUCUGGCUGGCUCACACCCUCCCCAAAUAUUCCAUUGUAUUCUCUUCCUCAUCCUGAGUUUAGAUUGAGCUAUGAUCUGGGCUCAGUUUACCUGCUUCUUAAGAACCUUGAAUUCAUCAAUGAUUGUUGCCCUUAUCCCUUUCUUGACCCAAUCUUGGGUUCUUCACACACUCCUCACUGCUCAGGUUCAGUGUCUUUUCUCAGCAAAGUGUCCAAUACCUGAAUAUCUUUCCUCUGACGGCAAGCAGAAUCGUACAUCGGGCUCUGGGUGUGGCGGCUUUGUGCCAAUACAGAUCUAUCUCUUCCAGGAUUUGUGCCCACUUCCUCCACCUAUUUAUUCCCAAAUCCAAUUAACUUCUUGUGCUGUGACACGUGCUACUUGGUUCUUUCCAGUGAGGUGUUAAAACUGAGGCCCCAUCUAUUUCUUAUGCUCCCUGUCGAUCAUUAUGAUCCCGUAGCACUAUUUGCCAUCCUCCUGGCCAACCAGCAGCACUAAAAAUGCGUUCACUACUCAUUCAUCUCAUUUCCCAUUAAUGGGAUCUUGCUGAGCACAAUACUGACAGUCACUGCACCUGGACAAGUAGCAAAUUGAAUGUGUUGUACUUUGGGGAGCCGUAGUGAAUGCAUCUUUGUUCUUCUUUCAGUUAACCUGUCUUCAUACAGUCAUUUGAAAUUGUAUUAUGCUGGCUUCAUCUAGUAAGCAGUUUGCAGUGUUAUGAGCAGGGAGGAUAGAUUGUUAUAACUGUUGUUAGUAUUGGAGUAAGGUUUUGUUUCAGGUUGCUGUUGAAGUUGUUUUCGAUUGAAGAUUCCAAAGGCACUGAAAUGUAUUCCUGAUGACGAGCAGUCAGCAGAAUUAUUUUUAAGUUAUGAGGGCAUGAAUGUAUAAAUAUAAAUGCCAGAUACAAAGCAUCUGCAGUAACUCUGUCCAGAUUGAACAUUAAAGAACACUAGACAGAUCACUUCUGGAAGGCACUGAGCGUUAUUUAUGCUGGAGUGUGUAAUGCAGUUGGUGCAAGCAGGCGUUGGAGUCAACAUCGCAACAUCACGAUUUGCUCAGACUCCAGCCCACAUUGCAGCUUUUGGAGGGCAUCC